CAAUAGAGUGUAGCAAACACGACUAUGCUUGCUGCCUCUUUUGCCGAAGUGGCCCAAUGUCCCUGGUGCUCCGCAUUGAUCGCUCAGGUUUUGUUCCCGGGGAAAAUAUUAUCGUUAAUGCUGAGUGUUCCAACAUGACCAAUGUCAAGAUUAACUACACAAAAGCAGUUGUGCAUCAGACCAUAACAUACUAUGCUGAAGGGAGAAAGAAGAAGGACCAUCGGAAGGUUGCUGAACUCAAGCGCUUGGAAAUUCCCCCUGGAGAAGAUGAUAACUGGAACAACGUUGAGAUGUUGAUUCCAGCACUGCCUACCUCUCACCUACAAUUCUGCAACCUGAUUGACAUUGAUUACGAACUCAAGUUUGAAAUGUCCCCAUCCGGUUGCCACAUGGACCUAGAACACACAGCUCCUGUAAAGAUUGGCUCCAUACCUCUAGUGCAAUACUUCAGCAACUUUGUCCAAGGACCACCCACAAACUCAGCCCAACACAUGAAUCUGGCUUCAGUUCAGCCUCCAGUGCCUGCUUAUUUCCCUCCUGGUCAGCCCCCAUUACCAAAUUAUUCUCCAGCACCAGAACAGCACCCAGGGCUUGGCUUUGCUGCUAUACCAGGUCAACAGCCAGUGCCAGGUCAGCCUCCAGUGAUGAAUCCUCCUGUAGUACCAUAUCAGCCUCCAGUUCCAGGUCAACAACCAUUAAUAGGUCAAGCACCUGUGCCUGGUCAGCCACCAGUACCAGGUGAACCACAAAUGCCAGGUCAGCCUCCAGUGCCUGGAUAUGGUACUGGGCCAGGUCAGUCUUCAGUGUUGGGCUUUGCUCCAUCCAUACCAGGUCAGCAAGCAGUCCAGAUGCCCUCCAACAAUCCAGCCCAGCCUAGCAUAGCAGUGUCCAGUGUCGAUCAAAACACUUCGCCAUACAACCCCAACUUCCAAUCAGCAUCUUACCCCAUACCAGGGUCACCAAGAUUUCCAGGAGUCGUACAUUAUCCUCAAAUGCCCUUACCAACAUACAACCAGUGUAUGUUUGGAACGACCAGCAUUGCGGAGAUUGAUAGUGAUGUUGAUGAAGGCCAGAAUCAUAACGAAGUGGGAUUUGCACCUCAUUAUAUAUCCUAUAACCUUGUAAACUCCAAGAGGCUCCAGUCAGCUGCCUCUGUGGGCGAUACCGUAGGGGUCAUGGAUGGCAUAACCAGCGGAGUGAGUGACCUGCAUAUUCGCCAUGACAGUGGGAGCAGUGGUUCUAGUGGAGACCAUUAUCGUGGAGGUAGGGCAGGAUAUCUCAUUGUGAGGGCCAGUCUGUUCUUUGUGUCAUUGUGAAGUAAUGGCUGUGAUUUUUUGGCAUAAGUGGUGAUAUUUUUAGCACUUUUGAUUUGUAUUUUAUGUUUGGUUCAUUCAUUUAUUCAUUCUGUUGAUGUAGAUUGUCUUUUGUCAAUGGAAAUGCUAGUGUCAUUAUGACUUUAUCUUCAGGCUACAAGGCAGGUAAGUUCAGAAUGACAUAGCACGAAGUUUUCCAGUAGGGAUAAAAUUAGUUUUGGGUGUGGGGGCAAAAUUGAGCUGAAAUGGGUAGGUAUUAGUUCUCUGUUUUAGUUAUUAUGUGUAUGUGAUUUGUCUAUAGCAAGUAUUUAUUGUUAAGUCUUAGAUGUCAUUUUGCAUGGAAGUGAAUCAGAUUUAUGUGCUCAUAAGUGUCAAGUUGCUAAACAUAUAGGUAGUGUUGUUUUUAUGAAAUAUAAAGGAAUGAUCAUAGAUUAUUGUUGGAAUGCAGAAAUUGUAAUUUUGUUUUUGUUCAUACGUUUAUAUUGAUGUUACCUUAAUAUUUUUUUCUUUUCUUUUAUUUUAUUGCAUUAAUUUUUAUCUGAACAGGGUACCAGGCACAUAACUGACUUCAGAAGAACCGAUAAGGGAAUAGCAUUCCUUUCUUUGGCAGUAUGUAAGUGCAGCAUGUGAAAGGAGACCAGUUAUGGUUCUUUUGGAAAAAAAAUGUAGAAACUUUUAACACAGACGAAUGCUCUAACAGAAUGAAAAUUUAUUAAUAUAAGUACAAAUAUCAUUGAAUAUAAUUUAACCCCCAAAGUAUAUGUGUGGAGUUUUUUUUUUAAUAGAAAUGGAUUUUCUGUAGCAGAACAUGGAUUAGAAAGCUGUGCAUCAUAUAGUGAAGGUCAUGAUAAAAUAUUUGUUUAAUUUUAGGAAAAAAUGUUUGUCACAUAAAGUUAAACAGAAUAUGGAUAUACAGCCACAGAAACACUGAGGCAAUCCUUUACAUGUUUUCUUCUUGGGUUGCAAUAUGAAACUACAGUAAUUGGAUUUUUUUUUUUUUUUUUUUAAAUCUUUUCUGACCAUUUUGAUUAGAUUAGUGUGUCUUUUUAAUUACAAGCAUUAUACAUUGUUGUUAUUAGAUACUAAAUAUUGAUAUAAUGAUGUAAUUAGAUUUUACCACAAUACAUAUUAGUUUGAUUAUAAUAUAAAUUAAUUUCAUUGAAAGCACAAAUAUAUUUUGUACUGAGUGCUUGUAUACCUUAAUUAAUAUGAUACACAAACUGACUGUGUAAUGGGAAUUGAAAAUAGAUUCCUGUUUAAGAUCUAGAUUUUCAGCAUUUCCUGGCAGAAUGCUUUCCUCCAUGGUUAAGUAAUUUGCAUAAAGUAAUAAAUCUACAUAGUAUACCGUUAUUGGAUAUAUUCUGUAUUUUAAGUAUUUUUGUACUUUGGGGGUUGACUCAUUAGCUAUUAAGAAGAGAUAUUUGCAUCCUUCAAAGUGAAAAGAAAGUAAAAGCCUUAGUAGGAAAUAAUGAUUAUGUUUAUUUUUUACCAUCUUUUUACAUCCAGAAUUAGGAUUUGUUUUAAAGUAACCCGAUGAUGACUGGGAGAAGAUAAACCAUCUCCAGGUGUAUCCUCAAUGGUUAAGACAAGAUUAGAAACUAGUAUUUGCAUAUAUCAUGCCUGUGACUGUAUAUUUUCAUGGCUUGUCUCAUAGUCACUGGCAGUGAAUAAAACAUUACUUAUUAUUUCUUAUUUAUAUUUUACACUUGUUACUGGUUUCUGUAUAUCAUUCACAGAAUUCUUUUUAAUGUAUGUGUAAACUGUCCCUUCAGCCAAGACUAAUAAGUAAGAAUAACUUUUAUUUCUCUUUUACAUUAAUUACAAUACGAUAGUAUUGACAAAAAAAUCUUAUGGAGGUAUAAGUUCUUCAGGAUCCAGUCACUGAUUGCAGUGAAGUCAUACUCAUGCCAUACCUGCAAUACUAAGGUUAAUGUGCACCUGUGUAAUUUUUAAUGAGGUAAGGUUACUGGGUUAUUUUUUAAUUCAUUUACCAGCCAUAUGUGUUUUUUAUCAAGAAAAAAUUGAAGAUUUUUCUGGCCCAGAUGGACAUUUUAGCAUUGGUUAUUCAGCAAGGAAUCAAUUAAUAGGCCUUCAAGACCUUCCCUGAUGUUCCCCUUUUCUUGAUUUUUUGGGAGAGUUAAUUUUUUUCUUAUGCUGUUAACCAGUUGGAUGCCUUGUUAUCUCACACGACCCAAAAUUACCUGAGUGGCAACUCUUCUAGGUAUUCCUUGUAGGCCUUGCUCACACAAACACUUGAGUGCAGUUUCAACGCUCCUUACCUCCCCUUUACAGUGUUUUUUCCUCUCUUUCUGCAAAAUAAUUUUUUUGUUUUUUUUUGCCAUUUUUCAAGGUUUAUAUUUGUUAUUUUGAAAAGCUGUAACAUGAUGGUAAUAGCUGGUUUUCUUUGCACAGACUCCAUAUCCUCUCUCUAGGUAGUCUAUAACAAUAAUAAUAGAAAUAAGUAACAUUUCAUUAUUUGUGUCUUCUCUUUAAGAUGUAUUUUUGUAUUAUUCAAUUUUCUUAAAUACACCUUGUGCUGCUGGAAAUGGAGCCAACACUCUUCCAGCCAUGGCAUACAUAUAGUACAUUUCACUUAUUUACUGGUGGAAACAAUACAGGAGGCCCUUCCUAAAUGCCCACUGAGUCUAAUCUUCCUUCAUGAACUUUGUGCAGUUGUGGUGAGUCAUUCCCGUCACCACAGCCUUCAGUCAAAUUUUUCAUGAUGGCAUAUUCACAUCAUCCCAGCCCUCGGCCAAAUUUUUCCAUGUUGGCACAUUCCUGUCACUUGUCCCUUAGCCAAAUUUUGGUCAUGGUCUUCUCACCAGGUUUAAUGGAUUAACAUCAUUCAUUAUUGUUUUCGUUGUUGACUUUGGGCUGGUUAGAAAGUUAUUAUCACUACUAAUAGCAGUAAAAGAUAAAAAAUGAACAUCUCUCCAAAACAAAAGGGUAAACAGUGAGAUCAGGUAGUACUAAUAAUUGACUCCUUGGCGGCUAAACUCUUGUGGAGCCUUUGGUGUGUUAGCACUGAAAUGCUCAUAAGUUUUCAACAAAAACAUAGACAUACUAUUGUCAGUGUGAAAUUUGAGUUAGUUUCAUGUAAUUUUCCUUACUAAUUUCUUUACUCAGAUUUAGAACCGGCAAGUAUAAUCUGUGCUUUAUUGUGCAUGAAUAUUAUUACAAACUUGUGGCUAGGGAAUUUAUAAUUUGGCUGCCAUCAUCAUUGAAGAAUAUCAAUGUUAACAAAAAACAGCCCAGCAGCUAUUUUCUAGUUCUAGGUUAUCAGUACAGGAAAUAAACACAAGGGACCUCCAAAAAGACCUGCAAAAUUAGAUGGUUGAGAUUAACCUUUGAUAUUCUCAUCAUGAUGGAUUUUUUAUCCUUUCAUCACAUUAAUGGCAUGUUUUCACCAGUUUUUCUUCCUGUUAAGAUAAAGAGCAGCUGCUCACGACCACAGCAUGAGUCAUCAUCUGCAUGAUAGCUUAGGGGAUGCACCGCUCAUUGUCCACCAUCAUGAGCAUCACUCUAACUCUGACUCAGACAGCGAGAGACCAGCAGAGGCAGCGCAGACUAAAGAUACCGGCUUCAACACCAAGGACACUGAGACCAACGCCAAUGACAG